UGAGAAGGAACUCGGCAAAUUAACACCGUAACUUCGGGAGAAGGUGUGCCCCGGUAGCGUGUAGAGACUUGCUCUCGAAGCGCGAUGGGGUUGCAGUGAAAUGGUGGCUGCGACUGUUUAAUAAAAACACAGCACUCUGCAAACACGAAAGUGGACGUAUAGGGUGUGACGCCUGCCCGGUGCCGGAAGGUUAAGUGAUGGGGUGCAAGCUCUUGAUCGAAGCCCCGGUAAACGGCGGCCGUAACGAUAACGGUCCUAAGGUAGCGAAAUUCCUUGUCGGGUAAGUUCCGACCUGCACGAAUGGCGUAACGAUGGCCACACUGUCUCCUCCUGGGACUCAGCGAAGUUGAAAUGUUUGUGAAGAUGCAAUCUACCCGCGGCUAGACGGAAAGACCCCAUGAACCUUUACUGUAGCUUUGCAUUGGACUUUGAACCGGUUUGUGUAGGAUAGGUGGGAGACUGUGAAGCCGGGACGCUAGUUUCGGUGGAGUCAACCUUGAAAUACCACCCUGAUUUGUUUGAGGUUCUAACCUUGGUCCGUGAAUCCGGAUCGGGGACCGUGCAUGGUAGGCAGUUUGACUGGGGCGGUCUCCUCCCAAAAGGUAACGGAGGAGUACGAAGGUACGCUUAGGGCGGUCGGACAUCGCCCACAAAGUGCAAUGGCAAAAGCGUGCUUGACUGCGAGACCCACAAGUCGAGCAGGUACGAAAGUAGGUCAUAGUGAUCCGGUGGUUCUGUAUGGAAGGGCCAUCGCUCAACGGAUAAAAGGUACUCUGGGGAUAACAGGCUAAUUCCUCCCAAGAGUUCAUAUCGACGGGGGAGUUUGGCACCUCGAUGUCGGCUCAUCACAUCCUGGGGCUGUAGUCGGUCCCAAGGGUAUGGCUGUUCGCCAUUUAAAGUGGUACGCGAGCUGGGUUUAAAACGUCGUGAGACAGUUUGGUCCCUAUCUGCCGUGGGCGCUGGAAAUUUGAAGGGGGCUGCUCCUAGUACGAGAGGACCGGAGUGGACGAACCUCUGGUGUACCGGUUAUGACGCCAGUCGUAUCGCCGGGUAGCUAAGUUCGGAAGAGAUAAACGCUGAAAGCAUCUAAGCGUGAAACUCGCCUUAAGAUAAGAUUUCCCGGAGUCUUGAACUCCCUGAAGGGUCGUCGAAGACCACGACGUUGAUAGGUCAGGUGUGGAAGCGCAGCAAUGCGUUAAGCUAACUGAUACUAAUUGCCCGU
rnacentral:rRNA from 1 species